CCUACGGGUGGCAGCAGUGAGGAAUAUUGGUCAAUGGACGAGAGUCUGAACCAGCCAAGCCGCGUGAAGGACGAAGGUGCCAAGCAUUGUAAACUUCUUUUGUCAAGGGACAAAAUCAGGCUCGAGAGCCUGACCGAGGGUACUUGAAGAAAAAGCAUCGGCUAACUCCGUGCCAGCAGCCGCGGUAAUACGGAGGAUGCGAGCGUUAUCCGGAUUUAUUGGGUUUAAAGGGUGCGUAGGCGGGCUGUUAAGUCAGCGGUAAAAGCCCGGGGCUCAACCCCGGCGAGCCGGUGAAAAUGGCUGUCUUGAGAUGGCGAGAGGUAUGCGGAAUGCGCAGUGUAGCGGUGAAAUGCUUAGAUAUUGCGCAGAACUCCGAUUGCGAAGGCAGCAUACCGGCGGCGAUCUGACGCUGAGGCACGAAAGCGUGGGUAUCGAACAGGAUUAGAUACCCCUGUAGUC
rnacentral:rRNA from 1 species